ensembl:lncRNA
GAAACAAGUGACUUUUAAGGAGGCAGAGCAAGUCACAGAUUAGAAUAAAACAAUAAAGCUUUAUAUUGGCCAGCUUCCAUUUAGCUCUUUGGGAUUAAACUUCCCGAAAGAGCUUCCUUUUGCGAGUUGCAUCACAUCUUGAAAAUUGUGAGGGCUUACCAUCCUGGAUCAGCUCCUGGUCUAAUUGGCUGUUUAAUUUUAUUCUUCCUGCUAGGGAAAGAUUUUCUACUCCCAUGCUUUAUGGAUUUCCCCACCCAUCUAAUUGCUCUGUUUGCAAAGGCUGGUAGCAACACUUUGCUUUAAUCCAAGUGGGGUAAUUUUCUAGCAACUGUUUCCUGCAGGAGAAAAGGGAGGAACUGGUCCACAUGUCAUGUAGGACAUCUGAUGCUUUUUCUAACUGAUGGCACUUGAAAAAGGCUUCUUAAGCUGAAGUAUGGUAUCGGGAUAAAAAUGGAAGGAUAAGCACUGGUGUGGAUCAGCUGGCAGAGGUAUCUGGUGCAGCCCAGCAAGUCACCUGGAGAUGACAAAAUGAAAGAUUUCCUUCUCCCCAUGCUCUGUGUUUUGACUGUGUGACUGCAUGGCAUCCAGCAGGGCCCUUCCCCUCUCUGGUAAGUGUGCCAAGACUUGCAGAACUCAACUGCUCUUUUCCCUGCUGCCUUUAGAAUUACAAAAUCUUCUCAGCAGUUUUUACGCUUCCCAGCUUUCAGCAAAUCUUUUACCAAGCACUUAGCUUUGCUUUGAUUUCCCCUCUUAGGAGAAUGGAGAACUUCCUCCCCACACCAAGAUAUUUUGUGUUUUUGGUGUAUGCCCUGUUACAUCAUAUACCAAAAAUCUGUCCCAGACAGUCUUCUGAUAUUUUCCCUCCCUUUAGCUGAGAUCUGUUCUCACACUGCAAAGAACUUUGUGGGAACAUUGUGGGAACUGAGACUAAGUUUUCAAAGCCUGGAAACUGCAAAAACCUAUUUUGAGCCAUAACAGAUGCUGCUGGACAUAUGGAACAGCUGAGGGGACUUGCACCAGGACUAAAAAUGUUCUGCAGAUCUUUAUGUCUCUGUCUCGGUGGGUGGGUUUCCUAUAGAAUUGGAAGCAGGGAAGAAGUGGAGACGAGUGCAUAUCACUAAUGUUUAUAACUCUCCUCUGGAGAUUUUGCUAUUGGGAAAGAGGAAUAGCAUAUCUUGGGUAACAUAGCAUUCCUGGUGGAAGAGAAGUAGCCUAAAAAUCAACACUGAUGUGGGAAGAGGGUCAUAUUGACCUGUGGCUAACUUCAGGCUUGAGCUUUUCCAGCUCCAUAUAAACUGAGAAUUUGAGGUCAAUAUCUAAACGCUUAAUUGGUGUAUUUUACUAUCUGUAAUGUUUUUACAGACAGUAAAGGCAGGUUGGAACUUGUGAACAAACAGUCUGGUCAAUAAAUAACCCUGUCCCUCUUUCAGAGCACAGCUCAGCUUUGAGUACUUGAGUAUCCCCAGCCCUGCAGGGAUGAGACCAUGGUGGCAAUGGUUUGGGUCUGCUCUGAACCUGGCAAUGUAGUGGUGUGCACAUUAUGUGAAGCAGUAGUAAUGGAGAGGGAGAGGAAGCACUGCAGCUGCUUGGUAAGUCCACUCGUGCAUCUGAAUUGAGUGGGAAAGGAAAAUCAUAGAACCACAGAAUCAUUAAGGUUGGGAAAGACCACUAAGAUCACCUGGUCCAACCGCCAGCCAUCUCCACCAUGCCCACUGACCAUGUCCACACGGCUCUGGAACACCUCCAGGGACGGUGACUGCACCACCUCCCUGGGCAGCCUGUGCCACUGCAGCACUGCUCUUUCUGGGAAGAAAUUUUUCCUAAUAUCCAACCUGAACUUCUCCUGUCACAGCUUAAGAUCAUUCCUUCUCAUCCUAUUACCAUGGAGAAGAGGCCAACCUCCACCUUGCUAUAGCUUCCUUUCAGGUCAUGAGAGUGAUAAGCUGACUCUCCUAUUCUCCAGACUCAACAACCCCAGCUCACUCAGCCGCUCCCCAUCAGACUUGUGCUCCAGACCCCUCACAGCUCCGUUGCCCUUCUCUGGACACGCUCCAGGA